rnacentral:misc_RNA from 1 species
AAGUUGUAACAAGGUUUCUGUAGGUGAACCUGCAGAAGGAUUAUUAUUGUAGGGCUCUAGCCCUGUUAAGAUAACACCCUUGCCUUUAUAAGUACUGCUUGUUUCCUUAGCAGGUUUGCCUGCUAAUAGGGACACAACAACACCCUAAAGCACCUGUAACAGCCUAAUAAAAUAAACAAAAGUCAAAACUUUUAACAACAGAUCUCUUAGUUCUA